AACUGACAUCAGCCUACUUUGAUCAACUCGUUGCUGCCAACUUGAAUCAACGGAACUGGACGAGGAAAAUUCUCGGCGCCUACUAACUUUGCUGUACGGCAACGUGUUUUCUUCACAGUCGACGGACUUUGACGAAAUGUUGAAAGAAGAGCUGGCCGGUUGAACGAUUUCGAUAUUUGUGUGCGUCCGUGGGGUAGCAGUACAGUCUCAAAUACACGGAUCUGCCCGAUUUCGGCCAGAAAGCGUCGCGGUUUGCUGGUUUAAUGACGUUUCAACAACUUUUACAUACCACGGGAACUCUCGGACGGAUGGCCAAAUGAGAUGGAAUACUAAACAGUUCGGACAUAUCAAGCAAUCAUGUGGAAUGUGGCCUGUUUUAAACUUUACACUCGUAAAGUGGUUUCAACAAUUUGGUUGAUGAUUUAAGCUUCGCUUG